UCGUCAGCUCGUGUUGUGAAAUGUUGGGUUAAGUCCCGCAACGAGCGCAACCCUUAUCCUUUGUUGCCAGCGAUUCGGUCGGGAACUCAAAGGAGACUGCCAGUGAUAAACUGGAGGAAGGUGGGGAUGACGUCAAGUCAUCAUGGCCCUUACGACCAGGGCUACACACGUGCUACAAUGGCGCAUACAAAGAGAAGCGACCUCGCGAGAGCAAGCGGACCUCAUAAAGUGCGUCGUAGUCCGGAUUGGAGUCUGCAACUCGACUCCAUGAAGUCGGAAUCGCUAGUAAUCGUGGAUCAGAAUGCCACGGUGAAUACGUUCCCGGGCCUUGUACACACCGCCCGUCACACCAUGGGAGUGGGUUGCAAAAGAAGUAGGUAGCUUAACCUUCGGGAGGGCGCUUACCACUUUGUGAUUCAUGACUGGGGUGAAGUCGUAACAAGGUAACCGUAGGGGAACCUGC
rnacentral:rRNA from 1 species